rnacentral:rRNA from 1 species
CGCUGAAACACCGGUUUUCGUACGAUCACCGAAGUUAAGCAGCGUAGAGCCAGGUCAGUUUGAAUUAGAUGGGGACCGCUUGGGAACACCUGGUACUGUAAGC